AGGAUCAUUAUCGUGGGGCUUCGGCCCCGUUGAGAUAGCACCCUUGCCUUUUUGAGUACCGUCCGUUUCCUCGGCAGGCCCGCCUGCCAAUGGGGACAACUACAACGCCCUGAAGCACCUGUAACUCGCCUGAUAAAACAAACAAAAUCAAAACUUUCAACAACGGAUCUCUUGGUUCUGGCAUCGAUGAAGAACGCAGCGAAAUGCGAUAAGUAGUGUGAAUUGCAGAAUUCAGUGAAUCAUCGAAUCUUUGAACGCACAUUGCGCCCUUUGGUAUUCCUUAGGGCAUGCCUGUUCGAGCGUCAUGUAAUUACUCAAGCAAAGCUUGGUUAUGGGUGCCUGUCCCGCCCCGUGCGUGGACUCACCUCAAAUCCAUUGGCGGCCCCCCGCCGGCCACGAGCGCAGCAGAAACGCGGUCUCGUGCCCCGGUAGGGCGGCUCCCCAGAAGCAAACCCCCCCAUUUUUGACCUCCGGAUCAGGUAAGGGAUACCCGCUGAACUUAAG
rnacentral:rRNA from 1 species